CGUGUACGUUAUGAAAUUGAACACUUUUCUAGAAUCGAAUGAAAUUAUAAUUUGUUUACUUCUAGAUAUCUACAGUUUAAUUCAUUCAUUAUUUAGAAGACUAUUAAUUCCAGAAAUUGUAAAUUUCUAGAAUUAAUGGUCUCCUAAAUGAACUUAGGGAGGUUAUUUGAUGAUUAAGACGUCGGAACAGUGAGAGUUUCUCGGAACUCGAUUAUAACUCAAUUUUCAAGCUAUUUUAUUAUGCUAAUUACCUAAUUACCGAAAGAAUGCUAUUAUAACAACAAAGAACAGGAACUAAAUCAAGACUUUUCUUAAUAUUCAUAGCUUGUAUUCAAGUUACAAACGUUGGAAUCAUAUUUUAUUCGAAAAUACGCUUAAUGCGUUAUUAGUUUAAAAAAAGAAAAAAAAAUGAACAAUGGUAAGGAAGGUCACAAUUUCAAACCAGGAAUCGUAUAAAUGGAUAGAUUCACGUCAAAUGUUCUAUUCAAAAAACAAUGUUUACACAUGCUCGAUCUGCGAAGAAAGCAAGUAUUGUGUGUUUGUGACCAAGCUGCACUGUGGGCCCAUUGGUUGCGCCAAGCGGAGGGGUGGAGCGCGAUGCAGCUGAACAAAUAUACCACAGAAAGCUUCCCUGAUCACGAUUGGGUGCAUCGAAUAGUUUCCGGAGCAUAAUGAUGGUUGCCUGUUGUAUAACUCGGCUAUUGUUCGUAUUGGAUUCAUGCAUGGGAAGAAAACAACAAUAGAAACUUCGCUUACAAACCUAUAUACAAGGUCUAGCGUAAUUGCGCGAUUUGCUAUUUUUGAAUAAGUAAAUUCGAAUGAUAGUAGAUCAAAUGACUGUACCGGUGUAUCAUUGUCAAAGCGUC
rnacentral:lncRNA from 1 species